AGGGAGGUGGGGGCAGCUAGAGGAGGGGUGGAUCGAGGGAAAUGGUGAGAAAGACAGCGGGAAGAGCAAAUUGAACGCUUGCGUUUAACUUCGAGGAAGACUACGACGGCAACAAAUCCUGUGGAGGCUGAGGAACGGGCGGGACCAAACCACAUAAAGGGCCUGUCAGAAAGCCGCUUCUUGUGCAGUUCCUCGUUAGUAUAGUGACAUUUUGAAGUCCCUGAUAUUUAAGAUGAGAAGAAAGUAUCCCACCUGUGCUGCUCAGCGCGGAGAUAAUUGAGACUCUGAGGAACCAUGUGCCUGAUUGUGUCAUUAGUUGCUUCUGCUGGUGAGGUUGGCUGGAAGACUGUCUAUCCGCCUGCGUGAACCACCAUGGACUGGUACAUCCCCACAGGGAGUUUGAGUAGCCACAGUAGCCCCACUCUACAAUGCCAAGCCCGCCACCUCCUCAACCCCAGACACCAUGCCUCCAUGGUUGCAGAGCUCUGCUGGAGAGCGAUUCGAAGUUGACGUGGAAAUUGCCGAACAAUCUGUAACUGCCAAGACCGUGCUGGAAGGUUUGGGAAUGGGUGAGGAAGGGGACACCUCUGUGAAGUGUGAAUGCAGCAAUAAAAAGAGGAGUCCGUGGGGCACCACCACCCAGAGGCCUCCCUCACUUGAAGACAAGGACAGCAAAGAAAAGCAGGCAGAUGGUAUCCCUGUCCAGGACCAAGAAUUCCCAAAAGCUGUCCAAGGAACACUCUUUGAAAUUAUUCCGGCUGCAAGCUGCUGAGACAUUGAAGGUUUGCUCGAUGUUCCACACAAGGCCAUUGACAAUCUGAUCAAGGGGGAAACUCCCGAGAUUCCCAGGCCUUCAACAUGACAAGGGAGCUUGCUGAAGACAAGGCAGCCCAGGCACACAGAGAGAACUCAUGGUGGGAAGAGAAGUGCAGUGCCUGACACUGUAACUGGGGGAAGACAAUGACAAUCACCGAAACACAGAGUGGGUUUUCACAGUCAGGGCGAGCACGGAGCAUCCAGAGAUGGUCUAAGGAAUUUAAAUUCCUUGUGGUCAGGAACUUUGCCUGGACUAGUGCUUGCUCCAGAGAAGAUGAGUGGGCCUUUCACCACGGAUGGACCAAG